GAUCUUUCCAUCUUCUAGACAAAGAUGGGUUAAAUGAAUCAAUAAUUCUAUGAGGAAAAUGAUGAAAGAAGGAACCAGUUGAAGAAAUUGAUCUGUAAAGUAGAAAUGAAAAGGCUUCUCAAUCCACUCUAUAACAGGUGAAUGCUUCCCCCUUUCUGGUUAAUUAUUCUACUUUAAUCCAUUUGAAUUUAGGAAUUUUCU
rnacentral:misc_RNA from 1 species